UGAGGAAUAUUGGUCAAUGGGCGUAAGCCUGAACCAGCCAAGUCGCGUGAGGGAUGAAGGUUCUAUGGAUCGUAAACCUCUUUUAUAAGGGAAUAAAGUGUGGGACGUGUCCUAUUUUGUAUGUACCUUAUGAAUAAGGAUCGGCUAACUCCGUGCCAGCAGCCGCGGUAAUACGGAGGAUCCGAGCGUUAUCCGGAUUUAUUGGGUUUAAAGGGUGCGUAGGCGGCCUUUUAAGUCAGCGGUGAAAGUCUGUGGCUCAACCAUAGAAUUGCCGUUGAAACUGGGGGGCUUGAGUAUGUUUGAGGCAGGCGGAAUGCGUGGUGUAGCGGUGAAAUGCUUAGAUAUCACGCAGAACCCCGAUUGCGAAGGCA
rnacentral:rRNA from 1 species